UGGGCCAGCUCCUGGCCCUAUUGAAGUCAAUGGUAAUUUUGUUGAUGACCUCAGUGAGACCAGGAUUUGAGGAUAACCUCCCAAGCACACUGUUUUGAACACUGAUACUGGACCUCCUAAAACUGGCCAGAACUGAAACCCUGGCUCCAAACACCUCUUAGCUUUAAAGAGUCGAUCCAAGUCUGGAUCUCACCAGCUCAUCUCUCUCUCUGGGUCUGAUUCUCAUUUUACAUAAAUGAACAUAUACUUGAUGCCCCCUUUAAGGUCCCUUUACACGUUUACAGGAGUGAUGUUAGUGUAACUGAGUCUGGCCCUAUGCCACUACAACUGUGGAGAAAUUGAAAUCCAGCUCCCAACUUUGCUGCAGGAGGGCUCAUUGCAAGCACUCCAUGGUGGAUCUAGGUGAAGAGCGUGAUGCAGAUAGAAUUUGGGUGAUGACUGCCUUCCUCAGGAGACGAAGCUAGAACGUUGGUGACAGGCUAUGCUGAAAAGCUAGAUCAAGUGGGAAGGCUCUGUGCUUUUCUUUACAGAUAUUCUCCCCAAAGCCCAGUGAACAAGACAGUGCUUGAGCCAGCCUGUGUCAAAUAUUCACCCAGGGAAACUCAGACUGGAAGAGGAUUGUUCCUCCGUUGUCUGCAAAGGAGAGGAAGCACACAAGGCUCCAAUUACUACCCCUUAGGAAUAAAGUUAUGGAAGGAUUGGGCUGUAUUAAACUACAAGCAAUUAUAAGGUCCACCUAGAAAAGCCUGAGAGAAUACAGAAGGGCCUUGCAGUGGGACUUGAAGGUCCCUGAGGUGACCAGGACCUAGAGCUGGUUGAAUAAUGACAAUAUACUCAUGAAAUUCUACCAGCUCCCCAACGACCCCUACCCACUUACGACUUUACAGACUAAAGCCAACACCUCAGAAUACACCAUAUCAUGACUAGAAAGAAGAAACUGCAGCCCCAUGAAGAGCACAUGGCAAUAAUCCCAUCUCCAAGUGGCUAAAUCAUGGGUCAUUGAGGUGAGGACCCCAUGAGAAAGAAAAACUACAAUCUACUGGCUGGUACAAACGCCAUGAAGUGCUUUUGUCUUGAGCUACUAUCAGGAUGUCUAGAAGCUGCUGAAGACAGUCCAAUGGUUAGGGCAUUAGCAUGGCACUGGAGAAACCUGGAUUCAAUUUUCUGCUUUGCUACAGACAUCCUGUGUGAUCUCAGGCAAGUCACUUAAUCUCUCUGUGCCUCAGUUCUUCCCCUGUACUAUGGGGGUACUAGCACUUCCCUACAUUGCAGGGGUGUUGUGAGGAUAAAUAUAUUAAUGAGUCUGAGGCAUUCAGAUACAAAAAUGAUAGGGCCCAUAUAAGAUACUUAGAUAAAAUACAGGUUGCAAACCUGAGUGGCAAAAGGAGGGAACUAACACCAGCUCUGUCUUUUUCUGCUUGUUUUUUCUGGGCUACCAACAAAAGGUUAGAUUGGAUGAUUUUGUCUCCGCCAGCUCACCUUCAUUCAAACCCCAUUCUCAAUAAGACACUGACCAGGGAGCUCUAGUCUUUGUAGGCCACCUCCUGCCCGUAUUAAUGGUGAAAGUAGCAAUAAGCCAAAAGCAGAACAAAGUGAGCUGUAUUUGGCCCACCAGCUGCUAUGCCUUGACCACCUUGAUCUUAAGAAAAAUAUUUCUAUAUUUUUUUGCCCAGGAACUGAGCAUUGUGUGUAUUUUCCUAGCUCUGCAGGAGCAGAUGGAAGUAGGAGAACAAAAAGGGCAAUAAAAAAAAAACCCUAAAGAUAUUCUCAGAAUAGGUAAACAUAACAGAAACAUUAUCUGGGUCACAUUUGGGCAACAGAGUUUGCUCUGUUUCAAGUGCAAAUGGUUUACUGAUGAUUUAGAUGAACUUCCUGGGGAGUGUUUGAAAAUUCCUGGCACACGUUCUAUUUACCAUCUGUUAGGAGGACUUUGAUGAGCCAGCAAAGACAUGCUGGAAUGGAGUAGUUGUUAUAACUGAGUGAUCCACUAACUUCAGCAUCUUUCAAUCCUUUUGAUUAUUUACAGUGAUGUAAAUAAAUGUACUUUUGUCAGAAAGUUCUAACACUGACUAUUCCUUCAUAUCUAAUACAACUCUUCUACGUUUCUACCCUAACGUGUAAAUAACAGUCUCAACAAGCUGAAAAAUAUAGAAAUUUCCUUCCUAAAGAUCUUCUUCUGAGGUGUUAUGAACAGUCAUAAUUUAUUUGCAUUGGUAUAGUACUUCAUCUUAACAUUCCCACCAGGCCCAUGUGCCCACACCUGGAAAGCAAACUGAUGGAAUUUUUUCAUAAUUUUUGUACAAGAAAUGUUACAAUUUUUGCAAAAAUUUCCUCUGUUUUUCAACCAACUAAAUGAACUGGUCAAUAAAAUGUUUACCAGCUUUAUUUGUAAAUAUUAUAGCCUACAAGAUACCAAAUACUUUAUCCUGUUGUACCAGACAAAAAUGUUGUUAAACUGAAGUUAAAGUUGAGAAUACAUAUCCAUAACAUAAAGGUUUUUAAAAAAACACCUUUAUAAGGGCACUGUAAUUAUUAAAACCAACUAUGCUCCAAAGCUCCUGAAAAAAACAAACCAAUCAAGCCCAAACCAAGAAACUGAAAGUAAAAGUUGAACUUAAGAGACCCAAACUUUUGAAUGCGCAGGUAUAUGGCCAACUGAUCAACGCUGUGCCUUAAAAUGAGGCUACUAACACUUCCCUACUUUACCAAGAUGUUGUGAGGCUUAAUUAAUUAAUAUUUGUAAAACACUUUGACAUCCUCACAUGGAAGGCAGUAUAACACU